AUUGAACGCUGGCGGCAGGCCUAACACAUGCAAGUCGAGCGGAUGAAGGGAGCUUGCUCCUGGAUUCAGCGGCGGACGGGUAAGUAAUGCCUAGGAAUCUGCCUGGUAGUGGGGGAUAACGUCCGGAAACGGGCGCUAAUACCGCAUACGUCCUGAGGGAGAAAGUGGGGGAUCUUCGGACCUCACGCUAUCAGAUGAGCCUAGGUCGGAUUAGCUAGUUGGUGGGGUAAAGGCCUACCAAGGCGACGAUCCGUAACUGGUCUGAGAGGAUGAUCAGUCACACUGGAACUGAGACACGGUCCAGACUCCUACGGGAGGCAGCAGUGGGGAAUAUUGGACAGUGGGCGAAAGCCUGAUCCAGCCAUGCCGCGUGUGUGAAGAAGGUCUUCGGAUUGUAAAGCACUUUAAGUUGGGAGUAAGGGCAGUAAGUUAAUACCUUGCUGUUUUGACGUUACCAACAGAAUAAGCACCGGCUAACUUCGUG
rnacentral:rRNA from 1 species